rnacentral:rRNA from 1 species
AUACGUAGGGGGCGAGCGUUGUCCGGAAUGAUUGGGCGUAAAGGGUGCGUAGGCGGCCCGGUAAGUCUGGAGUGAAAGUCCUGUUUUUAAGAUGGGAAUUGCUUUGGAUACUGUCGGGCUUGAGUGCAGGAGAGGUAAGUGGAAUUCCCAGUGUAGCGGUGAAAUGCGUAGAGAUUGGGAGGAACACCAGUGGCGAAGGCGACUUACUGGACUGUAACUGACGCUGAGGCGCGAAAGUGUGGGGAGCAAACAGGAUUAGAUACCCUGGUAGUCCACACUGUAAACGAUGAAUGCUAGGUGUAGGGGGUAUCGACCCCUUCUGUGCCGCAGUCAACACAAUAAGCAUUCCGCCUGGGGAGUACGGCCGCAAGGUUGAAACUCAAAGGAAUUGACGGGG